GACGAACGCUGGCGGCACGCCUAACACAUGCAAGUCGAACGGAGAAAAUGAUUUCGGUUAUUUUCUUAGUGGCGGACGGGUGAGUAACACGUGAGGAACCUGCCUUUGAGAGUGGGAUAGCUUCUGGAAACGGAUGGUAAUACCGCAUAACAUAGCGAAACCGCAUGAUUUUGCUAUCAAAGUAUUUCGCUCAGAGAUGGCCUCGCGUCUGAUUAGAUAGUUGGUGAGGUAACGGCUCACCAAGUCGACGAUCAGUAGCCGGACUGAGAGGUUGAACGGCCACAUUGGGACUGAGACACGGCCCAGACUCCUACGGGAGGCAGCAGUGGGGGAUAUUGCACAAUGGGGGAAACCCUGAUGCAGCGAUGCCGCGUGGAGGAAGAAGGUUUUCGGAUUGUAAACUCCUGUCGUAAGGGAAGAGGAAGGACUGUACCUUACAAGAAAGCUCCGGCUAACUACGUG
rnacentral:rRNA from 1 species